AGGACGAACGCUGGCGGCGUGCUUAACACAUGCAAGUCGAACGGUGAAGGAGAGCUUGCUCUCUGGAUCAGUGGCGAACGGGUGAGUAACACGUGAGUAACCUGCCCUUGACUCUGGGAUAAGCGUUGGAAACGACGUCUAAUACCGGAUACGAGCUUCAGUCGCAUGGCUAGGAGC
rnacentral:rRNA from 1 species